UUUUUAUAUUAUUUUUUAGUUUAUUAUAAAACCUAUGGAAACUUUUAAUUGCUUACCCGGCCUAUUAAAGCUCAAGCCUCUUCACUCUCCAUAAACGAGCUCCCUACUUUUAGAAAAUUUAUACAUAAAAAGGAGAGUUUUUAUCUAAUAAAAUACUCCCCUAUUGAUAAAAAUGCCUUUAUCUAAUUCACCUUCCUUUAUAAAAAAAAACGAAAUGCAAUUUUUAAUAAUGGAUGCGCCUUCUGCUUCCAACGUGGGAUCUUACUUGAAGGCAUU